rnacentral:lncRNA from 1 species
CAUGUCUGUUCCUGCUGGACAAUAAAUUCAUAAAUGAGGAAACUAAGGCUCAGAAAGGGUAAGUGAUUUGCCCGAGGUCAGACAGUUAGUGUCUGAGGCAAGAUUUGAACUCAGGUCUUUCUAGCUCCCAUCUAGCACUACCUGUUCCACUGUACCUACUAUUUCUAUAAGUUUUUAAAAGCCUAGAAUCAAAUUUACACUUGAUAUAAUUAGCAAAGAACCAUCAUCUUCUAUACAAUAUGUUUUCAAGCUGUUUUCUCUAAUGCAGUGAGUUCUGAUUUGGAGAAUUCUUGGCAUAAAAUAGUUCUCCCUGCAGGCCAGAUUACCUACUCAUACCUAGCUCUUGCAACUGUGGAAAUUUUUUCUUGGAACUUUACUUGUAAGUAUUUUUCAUUUACUGUAAUAUACUAUUAGAGUUGAAAGGGAUCUUUGGAAGUCCAACUCCCUCAUUUUGACUGAGCUAGGUCUGGAACCCAGGUGGUCUCUUAUCUACUAGCCCCACACCACACCAUAACAUUUUCAUAGUCAAGUGGCUGCAGCAGAAUUCAUGUUUCACUUUUUUUUUUUAGCGGGGAUGGCACAUUCUCUCAUGCCUCAACAGUAAUCAAAGAACAAUGCAGCCUGAUUGUCUGCUCAUCACCAUGAAUGUGGAGCCAGCCAUCAGAAGGGAGAGCUUUCUAGUUGCCUUGGUCUGGAGAGGAGAGCUGUCCAAAUCUGUGUCCCAGAAGCCACCUUCUGAGAUACUACCUCAACAUGGCACACUGAAUAUACAUCAGCAUAAAGUCGGUCAGCCAGGCAAUAAACAUUUAUCAAACACCAUGAGCCAAAAAGAGCUUGCCUAAUGGAAAAGGAUCCAGGAUCCUUCAAGGCAUCCUAUACAAUGUGGUGCUUUGAUCCCCUGGAGAGGAAAUGCCUCCAGUUCUUGUAUGGAGGGUGUGUAGGAAAUGAAAACAGAUUUCUCACCAGAAGGGAGUGUUAUCAGAGAUGUGCUCCAAAAUCAGCUGACAACAGCCUGUUCUGGGAUGAGGAUGAAGAAAUUAACAUUGGUCUUAUUGUGGGGAUCAUCGUGGGAUGUGUGUCAAUAAUUGUUUUGCUUGUGACACUGACUGUGGUCUUCUUGAAGAAGAAGAAGAAGAAGAAGAAGAAGAAGAAGAAGAAGAAGAAAAAACUUAAGGAAUGUCAAGUCUCCUCUUUAACAUCUGUAAAGGAGAUCUAG